rnacentral:rRNA from 1 species
ACGGCUCAGUAACACGUGGCUAACCCACCCUUGAGACGGAGAAAACCCCCGGGAAACUGGGGCUAAUCCCCCGAUAGGAGAAGACACCUGGAAGGGGUCUUUUCCCAAAAGGCGCUUAGAUCAUGCUUCUAGACGCCGCUCAAGGACGGGGCCGCGGCCGAUCAGGUUGUUGGUGAGGCAAUGGCUCACCAAGCCUAUAACCGGUACGGGCCGUGAGAGCGGGAGCCCGGAGAUGGGCACUGAGACAAGGGCCCAGGCCCUACGGGGCGCAGCAGUUGCGAAAACUCCGCAAUGCACGAAAGUGUGACGGGGCUACCCCGAGUGCCGUCCGCUGAGGGCGGCUUUUCCCCGGUGUAAGGAGCCGGGGGAAUAAGGAGAGGGCAAGUCUGGUGUCAGCCGCCGCGGUAAUACCAGCUCUCCGAGUGGUAGGGAUGAUUAUUGGGCUUAAAGCGUCCGUAGCCGGCCUAGCAAGUCUUCCGUUAAAUCCAACGAUUCAAUCGUUGGACUGCGGGAGAUACUGUUGGGCUAGGGGGCGGGAGAGGCUGACGGUAUUCUCGGGGUAGGGGUAAAAUCCUAUAAUCCCGGGAGGACCACCAGUGGCGAAGGCGGUCGGCUAGAACGCGCUCGACGGUGAGGGACGAAAGCUGGGGGAGCGAACCGGAUUAGAUACCCGGGUAGUCCCAGCUGUAAACGAUGCGGGCUAGGUGUUGGAGCGGCUACGGGCCGCUUCAGUGCCGCAGGGAAACCAUUAAGCCCGCCGCCUGGGGAGUACGGCCGCAAGGCUGAAACUUAAAGGAAUUGGCGGGGGAG